rnacentral:rRNA from 1 species
ACCCUAUUAUAAUAAAUGUAAAUUUAAAUAUCAGAGUAGUAUUAGUUAUAUUCUUGAAAUUUAAAAAAUUUGGCGGUAUUUUAGUCUUUUCAGAGGAACCUGUCCUAUAAUUGAUAAUCCACGAUAAGUUUUACUUAAUUUAAAAGUUUAUAUAUCGUCGUAGUUUGAAUAUCUUUAAAAAGUAAUAAUAUUCAAAAUUUUAUAUAUAAAAAUAAAUCAGAUCAAGGUGUAGCUUAUAAUUAAGGAGUGAUGGGUUACAAUAAAUUUAUUUAUAUGGUUAUAAUGAUUCAAUAGAUUAUUUAAAGUGGAUUUGAAAGUAAUAUAUUCUAUAUUUUAAUAUAUGAUUAAAGCUCUAAAAUAUG